rnacentral:rRNA from 1 species
AGUGAACGCUGGCGGUAUGCCUAACACAUGCCAGUCGAACGGCAGCACAGUAAGAGCUCGCUCUUACGGGUGGCGACUGGCGGACGGGUGACCAAUACAUCGGAAUCUACUUUUUCGUGGGUGAUAUCGUAGGGAAACUUACGCUAAUACCGCAUACGACGUACGGGUUAGAGCAGGGGGUUUUCGGACCUUUCGCGCUUGUAUGCGCCGAUGUCGGAUUAGCUAGUUGGCGGGGUAAAGGCCUACCAAGGCGACGAUCCGUAGCUGGGCUGAGAGGAUGAUCGGACACACUGGAACUGAGACACGGUGCAGACUCCUACGGGAGGAAGCAGUGGGGAAUAUUGGACAAUGGGCGAAAGGCUGAUACAGCCAUACCGCGUGGGUGAAGAAGGCAUUCGGGUUGUAAAGCUCUUUUGUUGGGAAAGAAAAGAAGAAUGUUAAUAACCGGCUGUUCUGACGGUACCGAAAGAAGAAGCACCGGCUAACUUCGUG